rnacentral:rRNA from 1 species
GACGAACGCUGGCGGCGUGCUUAACACAUGCCAGUCGAACGGAAAGGCCCCUUUGGGGGUACUCGAGUGGCGAACGGGUGAGUAACACGUGAGUAACCUGCCCUUGACUUCGGGAUAACUUCAGGAAACUGGGGCUAAUACCGGAUAGGAAUCCUUGCUGCAUGGUGGGGGUUGGAAAGCUUCGGCGGUUUUGGAUGGACUCGCGGCUUAUCAGCUUGUUGGUGGGGUAGUGGCUUACCAAGGCUUUGACGGGUAGCCGGCCUGAGAGGGCGACCGGCCACAUUGGGACUGAGAUGCGGCACAGACUCCUACGGGAGGCAGCAGGGGGGAAUAUUGCACAAUGGGCGGAAGCCUGAUGCAGCAACGCCGCGUGCGGGAUGACGGCCUUCGGGUUGUAAACCGCUUUCAGCAGGGGCGAAGCUUGUGGUGACGUUACCUGCAGAAGAAGCACCGGCUAACUACGUG